rnacentral:ncRNA from 1 species
AUAUAGGUCUCACUUAGAGGCCUCACUAACCUGGGGAGGUUAGGCAUCCAACGGGUAGCGAUAGCUCCGUCCCUUUGGAGAGACGGUCCAGAGACCGGGCUUGUCAGACCCGGUCGGGAAACCGUCUU